CAGUCAGAAAACACAAUUGAAAUAAACGCCUGCCGUUGGGAGGCUUUCAAGAAUAAUUCGAGAAAACGGAACAUAAAGAGUACUUGCUGAUAAUUUUGCCAGACGAAAACACGCCGCGCGUGUUCCUGGUGUGCAGGAAGGCUAUUCAACUCAAGGCGCAAGCUUUCUAAACAACACAAGCGUAAUCUGCCAUGGACAAGGAAACCUUUAAUAUCGUUGGUACCUAGAUGACCUUGGUUAUUUCAUACCAUGGAUAUACAUUCCACUAAAUUUCAUUCUAAAUUUUGACCAAAAUGUCAGUGGUUACGGUUACUGAAAUCAACAUGUUUAGUCAAAUCUGCCACGCCCAUGGACAGCAAAAUCUUCAGUAUCGUUGGUAUCUUCAUGGCAUACAUACCCCUAAUUAAUCCAAACAAUUAAGACAUUAAAAAGAAUGUUAAUUUGUUGCCAAGUCUGGAAAGUUCGGAAAUCAACAUUUUUCGUUGUGCUGUCGGUUUUAAAGGAUUUCAUUAAUUCUAAAGACCUAAUCUGCCACGCCCAUGGACAACAUAUAAUCUCCAUAUCAUGGACAAACAUUUACGAUCGCCAUUGUGGGUACAUGUGGAUUUAUAUGUCCUUGGGGAUUCCAUACCGUGGAUAUAGUCCUACCGAAGCAAAAGGACCAGGCUCUUGCAAAAUGCGCAAGAGCACGGCUCCAAAAUAUGUGUGAAUUUCUUUUUCAGCCACCCCAGCAACAGACCCGCUCCCUGUAUGGUUCCUAGUUGACAAUAAUAUCCUUGGUCAUACCAUACCAUCGAUAGAGUCCUUGGGAACCUAGAGGAUCAGAUCUCUGCAAAAUGCGCUUUGAAAUGGUCCAAAAAUAUGUAUGCUUUUUCUUUCAGCAGGGCUUUUACAUUAGCUGCAGCUGCAGCUUUUGCUUAACAGCCGCUUUACAGCACUCUAUUUACAUGAACUGCUAUUUAACAUUACCCAUUUUAAAUGAGUUACAUUUUUGCCCCUUCAGGCUAUGCAAUGAAAUUUUUUAUUCGGAGAACUUGUCGACCUUCUGGGCAUUUCUGUUCGCCUGGUAUUUUGGCAGAUUUUUAGAAAAAAUCUCGUCAGCCAGCGGUUGCCAACAGACGCUCCUGGCGUUCGAUUAUUUAUUUAUAACUAAAUUUAUACAAUUCUUUUUUAUGCUAAUUUGCUUAAUUAUUUCUCU